ACGAACGCUGGCGGCGUGCUUAACACAUGCAAGUCGAACGGAAAGGCCCUGCUUUUGUGGGGUGCUCGAGUGCGAACGGGUGAGUAACACGUGAGUAACCUGCCCUUGACUUUGGGAUAACUUCAGGAAACUGGGGCUAAUACCGGAUAGGAGCUCCUGCUGCAUGGUGGGGGUUGGAAAGUUUCGGCGGUUGGGGAUGGACUCGCGGCUUAUCAGCUUGUUGGUGGGGUAGUGGCUUACCAAGGCUUUGACGGGUAGCCGGCCUGAGAGGGUGACCGGCCACAUUGGGACUGAGAUACGGCCCAGACUCCUACGGGAGGCAGCAGUGGGGAAUAUUGCACAAUGGGCGGAAGCCUGAUGCAGCAACGCCGCGUGCGGGAUGACGGCCUUCGGGUUGUAAACCGCUUUCGCCUGUGACGAAGCGUGAGUGACGGUAAUGGGUAAAGAAGCACCGGCUAACUACGUG
rnacentral:rRNA from 1 species